GCGUCCGUAGCUCAGCUGGAUAGAGUACCUGGCUACGAACCAGGCGGUCAGAGGGUCGAAUCCUCUCGGACGCGCCA
rnacentral:tRNA from 1 species